AUGCACAUUUCAUUGACCUGCUUUCUUUACAAGUGACGAGCAGUGUUAUUUCUGAUGUGCUAAAGAAAUGGUUGAAGGCUAAUUAGCAGCAUAGCUGUUUGUAGUUACUGCUGCCAGUCUCCUUCAUACAAAG
rfam:Calypte anna contig35477, whole genome shotgun sequence.